GACGUAGGGCGCGAGCGUUGUCCGGAUUUAUUGGGCGUAAAGAGCUCGUAGGCGGCUUGUCGCGUCGACUGUGAAAUCCCGCGGCUCAACUGCGGGUCUGCAGUCGAUACGGGCAGGCUAGAGUUCGGUAGGGGAGACUGGAAUUCCUGGUGUAGCGGUGGAAUGCGCAGAUACCAGGAGGAACACCGAUGGCGAAGGCAGAUCUCUGGGCCGUAACGUGACGCUGAGGAGCG
rnacentral:rRNA from 1 species